rnacentral:rRNA from 1 species
GACGAACGCUGGCGGCGUGCCUAAUACAUGCAAGUCGAACGCAGGGGGGACGGGUGAGUAACACGUGGGUAACCUCCCAUCAGAGGGGAUAACACUUGGAAACAGGUGCUAAACCGAUACUGAUGGAUGGACCCGCGGUGCAUUAGCUAGUUGGUGAGGGAACGGCGCACCAAGGCCAAGAUGCAUAGCCGACCUGGGGGGGGUGUCGGCCACACUGGGAAUGAGACACGGCCCAGAGUCUUACGGGAGGCAGCAGGAGGGAAUCUUCGGCAAUGGACGAAAGUCUGACCGGGAAACGCCGCGGUAGUAAAAAAGGUUUUCGUAUCGUAAAACUCUGUUGUUAGAGAAGCGGUAUCUAACCAGAAAGCCACGGCUAACUACGUGCCAGCAGCCGCGGUAAUAC